UCAAGCAACCCUGAAGGGACCGAGGAGACUCGAGAGCCAGCCUCAAGCCUGUCCCUGACAGUGACAAGAAACACCUUGAUGAACUCUAAGCAAAGGAGCUCGGCACCAUUAACAUUCACUCCCAACGCGUGUGAGCUGUGCUGCAUCCCCAAGUGCUGCUCCUGCUGCCAGCCCUGGUACUCAACCAUGCUCAGGGGAAACCUGGCCAUCAGCUUCUCCUUCCAACAGCCUGGGCUGGGAGAGCCCCUCCACGCCCUGAAUCCACACCUGGCACCCCACAGAUCCACACCUGGCUGCCACAGCACAGCAAAGGAGGAUGGCAUCCUGAGCUCCAGCUUCUCCAGCAAAUUAAAGCCAAGGGGCUCUGGAAAGAACACCCAAGGCAGAGGAAUCACCAAGAGUUACAAGGCCAGGCUGCCUUCCCCAGCACUAGCACUGAGGCACCAUGGUUGGCACAGCCUUGUCCAUUCAGCACCGUGCCUUGGCUCUGAAUGCUCCAUAGGUGCCCCAGAAGCAGCACUAACCCACAUGUGCAGCCACUUGCUUUGUAUCUGGAGGGAUGCUGAUGGGUAGUACCAGUCCCAGGCAGGAAAAAGGGACUCUUGCAGCAUCUGCUGCCUGCUGGAUGCUGUUGAAGGCAGCAGUGGCAGCACCUACCUGUGUGCAGGCACUGAGCUCACCUGUGCCCACCACGAUGAACCAUUUCCUUCCUGAACACCCGGAUGUCCUGCCUGGGAAAUUAAAUCAGCUCUGAAUGGGAAGUGCAACCAAGCUGGCCCAACCCAGGAAGAAAAAGGGCAGCAAAAGAAAAACAAAUUCAGAAACUGGAAAAAAAAAAGUUAAAUGCUGUGUGUGCUGCUGUCCCUGUCACUGCCCCCACACCCAUAGCCAUGGUCGGGAAGGCUGGCUUGUCCCACCAAGGUGCUGCAGGAAGGGGUGGUUUUUCCUUUAGCAGGAUUCCUGUUCCAACACAGUCCUUUUCUUCCAUUUCUGGCUCUGGAGAAGGGAGCAGCUGGGUGCUGAGCCUGCCACAGCCCAGCCGUGCUGCCGGGCGAGGGCAAAGAGGCGUUAGCUGAGAAAGGGAGCCGAGCGCUUUAUUUUUAGUCUUGGUUUAACAAGUAUUAAUUAAUAAGAGUGCAAAUGCUAAUGCCGAGAAGACACAAACUGCGUUGCCUGAAAUGAAUGUUUGGGGCUUGUCUGUGCCAGGAUUUACAGCCGGGUGGGUUCACAGGGGCGAAUCAUUGCUCAAACUGCAAGGAUAAGCUGAGCCGGCUUCUUCCCACCGGGAGCGGCAUCGGCCGUGCCGCAAUGGGAUGUGCCGGGGGCUCCGGGGCCGCGCCGGG
rnacentral:lncRNA from 1 species